GCCGGCGUAGCUCAAAGGUAGAGCGGGGCACUUGUAAUGCCCAGGUUGCCCGUUCGAGUCGGGCCGUCGGCUCCA
rnacentral:tRNA from 1 species